UUUGCUUCUGUUGGUAGGCCUUUCGAUGUCGUCUUUUACCAAAUCAACAACUUUGCUCAGGUUCCUUCUUAGAAGUCGGUGCCUUUCGAUAACCUCUCUGUCGUUGAGAUAAUUUUAAGGAUUGUUUCUUGGGCUCCGUACCAUUUUCAAUGAUUUUCUUCAAUUUUAAGGUCAUAAAGACCACACUCGAGGACUCUCCUCUCCUUCUCUGCUUAAGAAAUAUCCAUGGUAUAAUAUAAAUUUUACAGAUAAUAACGGAUAAGAAAUUGUCCAUGGUAUUUAAACAGUUUCCUGCUUUCCACGUCAACUUGGGGCUGCUCGUGUAGCAUCAAGACAAGAUCUCCAGGACUAUACAAGUUUUAGGACAUUUUUGCAUCAUAUUUUUCUUUUUAUACUUUUGCUGACAUUUGUAGUUUUCUUCUGAUAA